GUCUACAGCCAUACCACCCUGAAUGCACCCGAUCUCAUCUGAUCUCAGAAGCUAAGCAGAGUUGGGCCUGGUUAGUACUUGGAUGGGAGAAAUUGACAUAUUUAUGCUGAAAUUU
rnacentral:rRNA from 1 species